AGCCACCAUGGCUGCUGACAUUGCUACACAUAUACAAAUGUAAAAGCCAUUUUGCUUUCUCAGUAUCUAUUCAAUCAGUCGGAGGAGCAGGAUGACCUUCACUAUGCCAGUGUCCACUUCUCCAACAACCAGGCAGAUCCUUUGUACGCCAACAUCAGACCAGCUGGACCCCGCAGACACAAAGAGGAAGAAGAAGAGGUCGUUGAGUACGCUGCCGUCAAAUUUAACCGCGCCAUUACUGACCCCAGGUCUAGAGUUCCACAAACUGUGGAGGAUCCAGCUGCACUGUACAGUACAGUCAUCAAAACAUAAAUACAACAGGAAUCUAUAGACUGUUGAUUUAGGGGAUUCCCUCACUUUCCUCACUCUCCAUGUGUCGUUGGAAUCGGAAAUGUCUCAACUAUUGGAUGGAUGGUCAUAAAGUUUGGUAUAGACUUUCAUAUCCCGCACAGGAUAACUUGACUUUGAUGAUCCCUGAACUUUUUCAUUAGCGUUAGCAAAUGCUUACACGUUCAUAUAACAUGGUCAAUGUAACAGAUGUGUUGUGUAAAUAGGAUUUAAACCAUUUUAGGGCAGUGUCCCUGAUGCUGACCCACUUUUCAAGGCAAUCCAAAAGGAAAGAGUGAUCAACAGUGUCAAAAAUGUACCUACCACCAGCAUAAACUGUAAGUCAAAGGUUGUUUCUUACAUUGAUAAGAACAUAUUUGAUGCUAUGACACGCAUUGAAACAUGCAAUCAUUGGGGUGGCUUCAGUGUAUUGGAAUUAUUUCGUUACUUGUUAUAAAUGUAUUUUGCACUGAGAUAAGACGUGCAGUUGAACUAGAAUAGCUAUGUCUGUGUGACCAUAAUUCAUGCACAUGAAUGUCAAUGAGUAGGGCCUCGCUCUUCAAGUUCACACAAGUCCUCACACCCCGCCCAGCAACAACUCUGAGACGUCACAUCAGGCACUGAAGAGUACAGUCCUUGCUGCAAGGAUUGACAGAAUAUUCUUUACUAGAUACUGAAUAGAUACUGAAUUAUACCUGCAUUUACAGAAAGGAACACCACAAAACUCUCUCUCAUUCUGUCUCAUAUAGAUUACAUUAUGAAGUUGAUAUAUAGUCUGCAAAAUAACAGAAUAAGUUCUUUUCUUGGUCAUUUACUGUAUUCACAAUGCAUAGUAAUAAUGUGAAGAGGAAGGAAACCUGGUGUAUUUUAACUGCCUGCUUUCUGUGUCCUGCUUAAACCUCCCGACUACAGAGGACGUUAUAGUUCAAGACAGCUUCUUUCUGAUUGUAGAAGUAUUUGAGACUAAUAUAUCUUGUGUACAUUAAUCGAUUAAUUAACAUUUUCUUAUUUGUUUUAUUGUCAUUGAAGAAAAGAGAUGAGAAGAGCGUUGAACAGCAGCAGUGGGUGUUUUUGUAUUGUCCUCCUUCUCUGUCUAAUAAAUGUCAAAAUGGCCACUUUUCAAGUAUGAAGCUCUGUUUUCUGUAUCAUUACAUAUUUAGCACUAAUGUUUUUACUGUAGUGAUCUUGUGGUAUAAAAACAAUCUCUUCUUAGGUGAAACUGAACAGCAGAAUCACAAACUGCUGGUGACAGACGACUCUAGUACUUUGUCAGUACAAUAUGCCAAUCUCAGACUUGUGUACG
rnacentral:lncRNA from 15 species